rnacentral:rRNA from 1 species
UACGGAGGGUGCAAGCGUUAUCCGGAAUCAUUGGGCUUAAAGGGUCCGCAGGCGGAUUUAUAAGUCAGUGGUGAAAGCCCGUCGCUCAACGACGGAACUGCCAUUGAUACUGUAAGUCUUGAAUUCGAUCGAAGUGGGCGGAAUAUGACAUGUAGCGGUGAAAUGCUUAGAUAUGUCAUAGAACACCGAUAGCGAAGGCAGCUCACUAGGUCUGGAUUGACGCUCAGGGACGAAAGCGUGGGGAGCAAACAGG